rnacentral:lncRNA from 1 species
GGGAUGAACAAGAAAUUAAUGUGGGUGACCAACGUUCACUAAACUAAAAGAAAAUUUCAAAUUUUGUCAGUUUUCUAUUUGGACUCAAAUUCCACAGGGUAGAUGCUUUAAGACUAUUUUGUAUUGUUAUUGUACAAUUAUAUUUCAUUAUUCAAGUAUAAGGGACAUGUUGACACUCAAAAAUGGCACCAACAGAUGUCGGGCCCACUUGCGUCCACGCGGGCAAAUUCCAUUGCAUUUAGAUCUUUGAUUUGAUCAGACGGUAGAAUGGACACAGGAGAUGCUCCUUCGACGCGAGACUAAGCAGUUCAAGCACCACCAAAGUGACCCGGAGGCUUUCAAACGGGCAAUGAUACUCUCGCCCAAGCACAAUCACAACUUUUGCAAGUAAAUGAUAAAAAAGAGUAGAAAAGAGACACAAUCAAAUGGCAAGAAAUAUAUAGAAUUGUAUUUAUUUUUCCCUCCAAAAUGUGCUAAAAAUUAGUAUAUCCGUUUCUUGUUCUUUUUCUUGGGUUUUGUCCCCUUUUCUCUAUAUGUGUUGCUUCUAUUGUCUCACAUAUCUCCUUCCUCCUUUUUUUUUUUUUUUUUUUUUUCUAUAAGGGAAGGGUAUUUAUAGAGUUUGGGGAAGACGUGGUUGUCAUUGGAUUCGAACUACAUGC